rnacentral:tRNA from 1 species
UCAGAAAUAGUUUAAUUAAAAUAUUAAUUUUGGAGAUUAAUGAUAAAAUUUAUUUUUUUUUCUGAA